AAUGAAUGUGAGCGAUUUCACUUUGAAUCUUGAUGUUUUGUAUCAGAAUUCCUAUAUUUUAUAAUGUGUUUUUCUUUCUUCAAAGUUCAAAAGGUAGAUUGUAUGAGGAUAUGAACACUUCUCUCGCCAUUGAAGAAUAUAUAAACGUUAUGGAAUAUGUCGCUGGAGGAGAGCUAUUUGACAAGUUUGUAGCGCAACGCUUCAGUGACGAUGAGAGAUAUAAUGACUUUACUUAUGUGAAAAGAUACAUUAACUGAAGAGGAAGCUUGGUUUUAUGUCGGAGAAACUGUUUUGGCAAUCGAAUCCAUUCACAAACAUAACUAUAUUCAGAGGAAAAUGAUUUCACUGCUGCAAAGAACUUAAGUGGGGCUCUUCAAAGUGACGGACGCCCUGCUGUACCGAGACGCACUCAACAGGAGCAACUGCAACAUUGGCAGAGAAAUAGGAGGAUGCUGGUAUGUUAUUUUUGUUUAGAGUAAAAUGCGAUUUUUGUCGCUGAGGUUUGGCCAGUUUUGCGACUUUUGUCCAAAGGUUUGUUUUUCCGCAUCUAGAUCCAAAAGUUUUGAUGAAUAGUAGGACCCGAUGUUAACAUGUGUGUGUAGGCAAUUGAUGAAUAUUGAAUGUAUAUGUUACAAAUAAAGAUAUGUAUGUUGUGUUGAUG